UUUGACAUCGUUAAAGAAACAUUGUUUUAAUAAUUGAUAAUUCAUUGUAGGAAACGCAUUGCUUUUGCGCAUGUUAUAAUAAUACGGUUGUCAUUAAAAAGUUAAACUGUGGUCAACUCAAUUCAAAAACCUUCAAGAACGACUUAAUCGGAACUGGUACCGAUCAGAGAGCGGGAAGGGGAGAUUAUGUAUUUGCCUCUUAUAGGAAAGUUACACUAACCACAGAAAUAGAUGACAAAUUAGGCCAGUGUCUGCUGGAGACAAAUAUAGGAUAUAAGACGUAUCCUUGUGAUUCAGCAGAUAUAACACAACGUACAUGGAUACAAAGAUCUCGAAAUGAGAUUAAAAAUAAAAGUCUUUCAAGGUGGACCCCUUAUGUACGACGAUUAAUCAUCAGCUGGAAGAAAAGCAAGAACACAAUAUUGACU